rnacentral:rRNA from 1 species
AAAAUCCGAGUUACACUCCCAACCCCAAUGUGAACGUUACCAAUCUGUUGCCUCGGCGGGAUUCUCUUGCCCCGGGCGCGUCGCAGCCCCGGAUCCCAUGGCGCCCGCCGGAGGACCAACUCCAAACUCUUUUUUUCUCUCCGUCGCGGCUCCCGUCGCGGCUCUGUUUUAUUUUUGCUCUGAGCCUUUCUCGGCGACCCUAGCGGGCGUCUCGAAAAUGAAUCAAAACUUUCAACAACGGAUCUCUUGGUUCUGGCAUCGAUGAAGAACGCAGCGAAAUGCGAUAAGUAAUGUGAAUUGCAGAAUUCAGUGAAUCAUCGAAUCUUUGAACGCACAUUGCGCCCGCCAGUAUUCUGGCGGGCAUGCCUGUCCGAGCGUCAUUUCAACCCUCGAACCCCUCCGGGGGGUCGGCGUUGGGGAUCGGCCCCUCACCGGGCCGCCCCCGAAAUACAGUGGCGGUCUCGCCGCAGCCUCUCCUGCGCAGUAGUUUGCACACUCGCACCGGGAGCGCGGCGCGGCCACAGCCGUAAAACACCCCAAACUUCUGAAAUGUUGACCUCGGAUCAGGUAGGAAUACCCGCUGAACUUAAGCAUAUCAAUAAAGCGGAGGAACUCCGAUUUUCCCUCCCCACCCCUUGUGAGGGUAGCAAUCUGUUGCGCGGCGGGAUUUUUUGCCCGGGAGCGACCACCCCGGAUCCAUGGGCCGCCGGAGACCAAUCCAACUCUUUUUUUUCUCAUGGGCUCCAGCGCGGUCUUAUUUUAUUUGAUAGAACCUUUUUGGAACCUGAGGGGUAUCGAAAUGAGAGAAAAUUUUAGAGAGAAAUAGGGGGUGG